GUGGGGAAUCUUCCGCAAUGGACGAAAGUCUGACGGAGCAACGCCGCGUGAGUGAUGAAGGUCUUCGGAUUGUAAAGCUCUGUUAAUCGGGACGAAAGAGCCUAGUGUGAAUAAUGCUAGGAAGUGACGGUACCGGAAUAGAAAGCCACGGCUAACUACGUGCCAGCAGCCGCGGUAAUACGUAGGUGGCAAGCGUUGUCCGGAAUUAUUGGGCGUAAAGCGCGCGCAGGCGGAUCUGCCAGUCUGUCUUAAAAGUUCGGGGCUUAACCCCGUGAUGGGAUGGAAACUACAGAUCUAGAGUAUCGGAGAGGAAAGUGGAAUUCCUAGUGUAGCGGUGAAAUGCGUAGAUAUUAGGAAGAACACCAGUGGCGAAGGCGACUUACUGGACUGAAACUGACGCUGAGGCUCGAAAGCGUGGGGAGCGAACAGGAUUAGAAACCCGGGUAGUCC
rnacentral:rRNA from 1 species